rnacentral:lncRNA from 1 species
UAUAACUCAGCAGAACAACUGAGGAAAUUUGGGUUUUGAUUUAUAAGAUUCCUGGUUUUGAAACGGUUGCAUUUUAAAGAUCCAUGAAAGGGAAAGGAUGAUGAAGAUGGUGUGACAAGAUGAGUAGGCUGCUUAAUUUUGUGUAGACAGAAAUCAGUGUUUGUCACUUUUUCCAACUCUGUUCCAAAAGCAAAAAGGGUUUUCUUGUGAGUUUAAAGUUCUGAAUUUUUUUAUUAUGGUUUCAAUUUGGUGGCUUUCUUGACUGAAUUCAAAUUUCACACAGCAGUCAAUUGGGGACAAAAAAAGGAAAGCAUUGGCAGACACAAAUUGUUCAAAUUGAGGAGAAAUAUGAUCCACCCACCAAAGGGUUUUCAUGAAUUUAAAGAAAUCUUUGCUCAUCAUGAAUCAUGAGCAUGCUUUUGUCAAUUGACAUUGUUUCUUCCAUUAGAACCCUAAUUUUGAAUCUGUUGUUAUGUUGCUGAAUUUAAUUUAUCAUGUUCAACAAGGACAAUUGCUUAAACUAAAACACACAUGAAGUGAUAUGUAAAGGCUUUCUAGGAUUGAGAUGUAAACAAUUCACCAAAUAUUUUCACCCAAAUAUAGACUAAUUACAACAAGAUUGAAGCAU